GAAAGGAGUACAAGAACUGCUAACUCUAACCACUGGUACUAAUCUACCAGGCCUUUCC
rnacentral:tRNA from 1 species